rnacentral:lncRNA from 1 species
GCAUGGAGAUGCUAGUAUGGCAUGCAGGUGAAAUGUAAGAGUACAUUUCACUGAACGUGACUAACUCCAGAGUACUCUGCUGUCAAGAGUCACUCCGAAGGGAUAUAGGUAUAAGUGUUCCUCCGAUCUGAGAUUACCAUGGUGACUUGUAAGCAACUCACUGUGCUUUGGUGCCGAACUACCUGAAUUUCUAACUCAGGAUUGGAAGAUUUUUGGACAU